CUUCUUGUCCGAAGACAACACUUCUUGUCUAAAGACAAUACUUCUUGUCCGAAGACAACACUUCUUGUCCGAAGACAAUACUUCUUGUCCGAAGACAACACUUCUUGUUUCAUGGCCUCAAACGCCCAAACCCAAUUAUUACGUUACUCUACGAUCAACAAUAUUACUCUACGGUCGACAAUCAGCCAUUACUCUACGAUCAACAAUCUUACUCUACGGUCGUAGUCGGUCUGGCUAUCACUCUACGAUCAACAAUAUUACUCUACGGUCGACAAUCAGCCAUUACUCUACGAUCAACAAUCUUACUCUACGAUCGUAGUCAGUCUGGCUAUCACUCUACGAUCAACAGUCUUACUCUACGGUCGUAGUCGGUCUGGCUAUCACUCUACGAUCAACAAUCUUACUCUACGGUCGUAGUCGGUCUGGCUAUCACUCUACGAUCAACAAUCUUACUCUACGGUCGUGGUCAUCUACAUGGUGGACCUUUCCAGGAAUCGUAGAGUAGUCCAGACACUUACAGAUGUUAAGUGAGCAAUCGUAGUGUUUUCCAAAAGGCCAGCACCAAAAUGACAUGACACUAUGAUUUGGAUAGUAGAGUGUCAUCUGACUUAUGUCAGAAGCAUCAAGUCCUAACUUUUAAUUCUAACAAUUUUUUUUAGUAACGUGUUCAUGCAUGAAAGUGAACUUCCUAACCCCUUAUAACAUGCUAGUUCAUCAUACUUGACCUAUUAAUUAGGAAAAACCAAGGAUCAAACCAGACUCAAGUUAAGAACGAAGUAGAAAUUUUUACCUUCUCAACCUUGAUAUCUCACACACUGAUUUGGCUUCGGAAUGCUUAGCGACUAAGAAU
rnacentral:lncRNA from 1 species